UCGUAACAAAGGUUUCCGUAGGUGAACCUGCGGAAGGAUCAUUAUCACACUAUCCAAACCUUUACUUCCCCGAGAAGAGGUGCCCGAAGCCUGCUGCCGAUACACUGGUAGCGAGCCUCGAGUGCCAAACUUAUAAAAACCAAAACCAGGUGCCAAAGCAGGCCCCAGCUUCGGCUGGUUGGCUAGCUGCGGUGCCGCCCAUUACCGAACUGAAACUGUAACUGAACAUAAACUGCUUUUGGAGAUUCGUCUCUUCUAGCUGUAAAAUCUAUUACAACUUUUAGCAAUGGAUGUCUUGGGUCACACAACGAUGAAGAACGCAGCGAAAUGCGAUACGUAAUGCGAAUUGCAGAACUUCGUGAAUCAUCAAAAUUUUGAACGCACAUUGCGCUACUGAGUAAUCUCAGUAGCAUGCUUAUCUGAGUGUCUCUAAACCCCACUCAGCCGCUGCUGCACUUUACUGUGCUAGCAACGCGCUGGACUGUGAUAGUGUUUGGCAUAUGUCGAACUCCAUUCAAGUUCAUUGGUUUGUUGUUGACGCCCUUGCUGGCCGAACGCGAAUCGCAACUAGAUUUGGUAGGUGCACUUAUGUGUAUUUUGAAUCUGGCUUGUGAGUUGCCGAGGCUUACGAGAGCAUCUCCAGCGAAUUGGGCUACCAGCACUGCUGGCCUGCCCGGAAUGAAUGUACCUCAUCUAUGGAUCUCAGAUUAAGUAAGUUUACCCGCUGAACUUAAGCAUAU
rnacentral:rRNA from 1 species